rnacentral:rRNA from 1 species
AUUGAACGCUGGCGGCAGGCCUAACACAUGCAAGUCGAACGAGUGGCGGACGGGUGAGUAAUGUCUGGGAAACUGCCUGAUGGAGGGGGAUAACUACUGGAAACGGUAGCUAAUACCGCAUACCAUCGGAUGUGCCCAGAUGGGAUUAUCUAGUAGGUGGGGUAACGGCUCACCACGGCGACGAUCCCUAGCUGGUCUGAGAGGAUGACCAGGCACACUGGAACAUAGACACGGUCCAGACUCCUCAGGUAGGCAGCAGUGGGGAAUAUUGCACAAUGGGCGCAAGCCUUAUGCAGCCAUGCCGCGUGUAUGAAGAAGGCAGUCGGGUUGUAAAGUACUUUCAGCUGGGAGGCGUUACCCGCAGAAGAAGCACCGGCUAACUCCGUGCCAGAAGCCGCGGUAAUUC